rnacentral:misc_RNA from 1 species
GGGUAACUUAAAAGGGAGUGACAAGUAAAUGAACACCGUAUAGUAUACGGGCUUUUGGUUUAUUGAGUUUUGUGUUUGGUGGGUGUCAUGGUGCCAUGUGGAGAGCACAUAUGUCUUACACUGGCGCAUGGAUUCGGCAAUUCCAGAGAUAUGAGAUUGAGAAAUGAUAAUAGUUUUGGUCUUUUCAAGAAAAACUAGCAGCAGAUAGAACGAACAGUUUGGUGUUAAGAGAAAGCAGAAAACCCAGUUUUGUUUUCUUUAGAGCAGGAGUCCUGUGAGAGAGAAGAACCACCCCGAUUUCAGUGCAAGAAAUUACACAAGGGUUAUCUCACUCUCAUUUCUUUAAACCAGCCAGAUUCUUGUGUUCUGCCGCCUCGUUAACUUAGUCCAGGUAUGCAAGUAUGGCUUUUCAUCUUUUCUUCUGUAUCCAAUCUCCUCUCACUGCAGAUGAGUACCUUUCUUUAAUUUAAGUUUGGUUCCUCUCAAAACAUUAGACAGAGAAGGAGCUUUUCAUUAGCCUUUUUAUACAGAUCUAUUUCUUUCUUUUUAUCCCAUUUCAGAAAGCUGUUUCUGAUCCCUGGAAAAGAAUGGGACAAACAGCUGAGAAUCGUAUCUCAUCUUCACAGUGUUUCUUCAAACUUUCAUUGCUCUGUGUUGCAGUCUUUGUCCCUUCUCUAAUCUUCAUUUGCUUCCUAACUUUUGGGUUCUCUCCUCUCCUUGUAACAAUCUCUAUUUUGCUCGUAUCAACCAUUCUCAUUCUCACAUUCUCAAAGAGAAAGGAGAUUACUGUUGGGAAUCCAAGUCCAGCACAUGAUGAUGAAGUUUCCAUGUCUAGUCCUAAGGACCUACUUGUAAAGGAAGUUGAACAGGUGCUAAACCCAGAAGUGGAAGCUGUUACUCUGUGCAGUGCUGCCCAGCAAAGUGAAGUUAGUGACAACCAUGAGUAUCAAGUUGAAUCGACAGAUUUCCCUUCAGCUAGCGAAAGUGGUGAUGAUUACUCAGAGAGUGAAAAUUUUGAGCUCAAUUGGGUGUCUUUCAAUAAUGUGGGGAAAAAUGUAGCGAUCUCUGAAAGUUCAUUCUCUUCUGAUAAUAAUGAGGAUGAAGAUGAUAAUCUCAUUGAAAUCAGUUUUCCAGAUAAUAAUUCUGUUGAGUUGAAUGAAGAUUCAGAUGAAAAACUGCAGACAGAGUACUUACCUGAGUCCAUUUUCAGGCAAGAAGGUCUAAUGGAGCUAUUAGCGGAUAUUAAUGAGGUGAAUGAGGAAGAUAACUUGAUUGAGAUUGACCUUUCCAUGGGCUCCAUAAAGGGCUGAAGCAUAGGCCAGCCAAUCUACAAAAGGUCAAAUUGUUAUAAAUUUUCUUUUGCUGUAACUGAGGUUGAUGCUAGGGUCUAGAGUUUAGGUCUAGGGUAACUUGUUCUAUUAUGUUUUGUGAUGCUUGUGUUUCUGUAAAGCUUCUGCAAUACUAUUAACUGGGCUUAUAUCACAACAUUUGAUAUUGUUUGGAGCGGGUGAUCAUUCUCUUAAAUUCACCAAGAAUCAAAUGCAGAACAACAACCAAGUGCUAAAUCAUAUUCACUUGCCAUGUUAAGUAUUUAGAAUCAUUACUACUUUACCAGUAAGAGAUUGGAGUUGACAGUAUGCAGUGGAAGCAAACUUCAGAUUUCAACCUGAUGAUUAAAACAGAACCUGGAAAGCAGUUUCCGGCAUGUCCUUGCACACAGUUUUCUAUUGACUCCAGUAGAUUGGAAAGUACAAGACCUCUGGAAAAAAAUGGUGAUGCUCCACGGCAUUUAAUAAAUAUAUAUUGACAUAAAAUCAUCAAUACAUAGAGAAAACGUAAGACACAUAGAUUUCAUCAUCAACAUUAUUUCAAACACAACUCAACCAAAAAUAAUCAUUGUCAACCUUCUACGCACUGAAAAAAAGAUGUUCUAAUCCUUAUAAAAGAAUAGUGAUCAAUGUCACUGCUUCAGUAUUUUAUCGCCAGAAUUUUCAGAUCAAACAUUCAGUGGUAUGGUACAGCCUUCAGAAACGUUUGCAAUGAGCGUCUUGCAUUAUACCUUCACAACUCUGGACAAAGAUCUUGGCUAGCCAAAUCUUCAUUUGAUACCUUGAAACUCUUAACCAGUUACUAUUCGUGUCAAACCAUUCUCUGACAGAUACUUCAUACUUGCCUCAUCUCGCUGUCGCAUAAAAUGGUUGCAAUUGUGUGACCAGGACCAAUUGACUCUGCAACUCUAACAGCCCCCAAGCAAUUCAUGGCUGAAGAGCUCCCAACAAAAAGGCCAUUUUUUGAAAGAUACCAGAAAAUAGUUCAAGUUAGAAAUAAUGUGAAAAUGGAGAACAGUUUUUUUUUUUUUAAUUAUUUAUUAAUAGGAACCAUAGUGCCAUGGGAUAUGAAAUGCAAGGGAACAAUAUCAAGUGUUGAGGUAAGUAAUUUCAAGCAAAAUGCCAACUGACAAGGGUAGGAUCAUUUCAUAAAUUUUCUCAAACUCUGAAAACCACUAAGAAAGUUUCCAUUUUGAGGUAAAUUGAAAGACACAAAUAGAAACGGGUAAGGAUCAGCAGAAGCGUGCAAUAGACCAUUCUAACUUGGUAAGCAACCGUAAAAUCCACCGGGACACUGGUUAAAGCUUUUGGAGUGACUUAUUUUCUUAACUGGCCAUUUUUAAGGAAAAAGUAAUGAAACAAGUAAAGAGGGCAGAGUGAGAACUAACCUUGAUCAACAGCCUCCUUAUUUGUGCCUCUAAAAGCACCAUUAAGUUUUGCCAUCAUAAAAUUCUACGUUACCCUGUUAAUUCCAAUUCCUUCUGCUAUUAUGUCAAAUGGAUUCUUUAGCCUUUUCCAUUCAGCGUUCUUUUUAGUGUACACGUGUACAUGACGCCUCUUGUUAACCUUAUUGAACAAACCAGAACCAAGAGGAUCUAUGAGAAAGAACUUGAUAUUUGAAUUCUUUUCCUGUACAAAACAUAACAGCGAUAUAUGAGACUUUCCUAACACCUAGAGGACAAAAUUAAGAGGCAAGAGAGCUUGACUUGCAGGAACCUAGAAACACCCGACGCAGUCCCACCAGUUCGUGCGGCUGCCACAAAUGCACCUAAACUGCCACAGGUUUGUUUCAAAAUCUCACGGCCAGUACCCAUUUAGUGGGCCAUAAAAUUUGCCAAAUUUUCAAAUUGAUCAGCAAAGAAACCACCAUUACAAUAGCUUGAGAAAAUUAGACAUUGUUUCUCUUCGUCAGAUCUAUAACCAUUAAUAUUCCCAGGGUCUCCAUCAAUUUGGCCAUCUUUUCUAAGCUUUGAAGCUAAUUCAUUUGCUUCUAAUGCCCUUCGCCUAGCAACAUUGACAUGGUGGUCUUGGUGUGCAUUUGAAACUAGUCUGACCCUUUCAACAGUUGUUCCAAACCGUCAAGAAUUUGAGACCAAAAAAAAAUUUUCAAGAGAAACAAAUUUAAGUCUGUUGCAGAAUAUAAAAGACAGUUUAAAAGAACGCAGAAGAGAAAAGAGGAUUCAUGUGCAUGAGUUCUCAAAAGAAGGAGACUCUCUACCCCCCCUCCC